AGCGUUAAUCGGAAUUACUGGGCGUAAAGCGUGCGUAGGCGGUUUGUUAAGCAAGAUGUGAAAGCCCAGGGCUCAACCUUGGAACUGCAUUUUGAACUGGCAAACUAGAGUAUUGUAGAGGGUGGUGGAAUUUCCAGUGUAGCGGUGAAAUGCGUAGAGAUUGGAAGGAACAUCAGUGGCGAAGGCGGCCACCUGGACAAAUACUGACGCUGAGGCACGAAAGCGUGNNNAGCAAACAGGAUUAGAUACCCUGGUAGUCCACGCCGUAAACGAUGUCAACUAGCUGUCUGUAGACUUGAUCUGUGGGUAGCGAAGCUAACGCGAUAAGUUGACCGCCUGGGGAGUACGGCCGCAAGGUUAAAACUCAAAUGAAUUGACGGGGGCCCGCACAAGCGGUGGAGCAUGUGGUUUAAUUCGAUGCAACGCGAAGAACCUUACCAUCCCUUGACAUCCACAGAACUUUCCAGAGAUGGAUUGGUGCCUUCGGGAACUGUGAGACAGGUGCUGCAUGGCUGUCGUCAGCUCGUGUUGUGAAAUGUUGGGUUAAGUCCCGCAACGAGCGCAACCCCUAUCCUUAUUUGCCAGCGAGUAGUGUCGGGAACUUUAAGGAGACUGCCGGUGAUAAACCGGAGGAAGGUGGGGACGACGUCAAGUCAUCAUGGCCCUUACGGGAUGGGCUACACACGUGCUACAAUGGCAAGUACAGAGGGCAGCAAUAUCGCGAGAUGGAGCGAAUCCCACAAAGCUUGUCGUAGUCCGGAUCGGAGUCUGCAACUCGACUCCGUGAAGUUGGAAUCGCUAGUAAUCGUGGAUCAGAAUGCCACGGUGAAUACGUUCCCGGGCCUUGUACACACCGCCCGUCACACCAUGGGAGUGGGUUGCAAAAGAAGUAGCUAGUCUAACCUUCGGGGGGACGGUUACCACUUUGUGAUACAUGACUGGGGUG
rnacentral:rRNA from 1 species